rnacentral:rRNA from 1 species
UACGUAGGGGGCUAGCGUUGUCCGGAUUUAUUGGGCGUAAAGAGCGUGUAGGCGGCCAGGUAGGUCUGCUGUGAAAACUCGAGGCUUAACCUCGAGAUGUCGGCGGAAACCAUCUGGCUAGAGUCCGGAAGAGGAGAGCGGAAUUCCUGGUGUAGCGGUGAAAUGCGCAGAUAUCAGGAAGAACACCUAUGGCGAAGGCAGCUCUCUGGGACGGUACUGACGCUGAGACGCGAAAGCGUGGGGAGCGAACAGG